CUCAGGCAUCACCCAGAGCAGCAGCGGGAGGAGGCGCCAGGCAGGCAGCCAGCCGGCCGGCCGGCUUCCAGGCAUCUCUGUGCGCUCCGGGCUCCCUCCACACCCCCAACUCCGAGCAGAGAGCGAACCGGCUCCGCAUCCCCUGUGCUCCUGCCCUGCAGCCCCGGGACCAAGCCAUGAAGCAGGCUCUGAUGGAAGUCAUGAGGAUGAACAGGAUUUGCAGGAUGGUCUUGGUCACUUGCUUCGGAUCUUUUAUCCUGGUCAUCUUCUAUUUCCAAAGUAUGUUGCAUCCAGUAAUACGUAGAAAUCCAUUUGGAAUGGACAUCUGUUGUCGGAAGGGGUCAAGAAGCCCGCUCCAGGAACUGUACAAUCCCAUUCAGCCAAAUCCUCUUGAGCUGUUGAUCUUGAAAGCUCCCCCAUGCUAUGUAGAAUUGGGAAAUGUCAGUACCUAAAUGGAAGAACUCCAAGGACAACCUGCACCAAAUGGUGUUGAUUACAUUCUUCACUCUGAGUCACUACUCAAGAAAUCUCCGCAUCCAGAGAAACAGCCAUACACCACAAUGUGAUGUGAAGCUGAGCUAUUGACUAUCUGUGAUCAUUUUAAGAGUCUGUGGUAUUUUUGACAAGAAUAUGGUAUUUAACCCCAUAUGUCCUGGCUAAGUUUCAAUCUGGAUUACAUACCCCUGUCUACUUAAAUGCCUUCUUCCAUUUCAAUUUGUUGUUCUUCCUCACUUGCUGUUCUAAACUCUUAUUUAUUACAGCAUGCUGUUUAACUGGUUGCUAUAUUCACCACCACUGAAGUUUAACCAUAUCUGUGGUGGAUAGAGCCCCUUGAAUACACAAGAAUCUGUAAAGCAUUUGGGGAUCAUUACGGUUUCUAGUUUAGUGUCUUAGGUCAUUUCGCAUGGAUAAUUAGAAUAAGAGGUGCUACAUGUAAAAUAUUAUAGUUCUAAACAGUAAGAUAUUAAAAUCCUUUGGCGUAAAUAAACUACUUUCUUGUUUGGGUCUAAUCUCUUACUAACACACUAUAUAAAUAUUUAUAAUAGAAUCCUGGGAAAUAAAGGUAUGAUUAAUUAUAUUUUGCUGUAUGUAUUCAACAAUAUUAAUUUUGGGUUUGAACGUAUGCAUUUAUGAAAGUGAGGGAAAAGUUAAACGGUGUAUUCCAAAAUAAAUACCUGUAUGACCUGUAUUUUUAAUGUACUAUUCCUGGGAUGGUAUUGGAGAAGCGGAAGUGUUGCACUUGGUCUGCUCCACCUAUCUGAUAUGGUAUAAAGAUUUGUCAGUAUGAGUUGGGAUUGCUACUUUGCUCACAACUGAAGUCAAUAAUGUUCCACCUGUAGAGCUUUAGAGGGGUGGAGAGAAAAAUAACUAAUAAAAUUGUCAGAAACAACUACAAAUUACCUAAAAUAGUUUGUCCAUAAAUGGCAAAAUUGGGAAUUCGAUGUCCAAUAUUGCAGCAACAGCCAGAGCUAGAAAUAAGUGCUGUGAUUCUCAUUUGAAAGCUGAGAAAUCUCCCCUUUCCAGUUACUUAAAGCGCCAAUACCUCAUGAUUCAUCAGGACUAGGAAUCAGAUAUGAAACCUGUCAUUGGUUCAGGACUAAUGUGGUGAAGAAAUCCACAUUGUGGGGGGAAGAAUUGAACAAGAAUGAGCAAACUGUCCACACUAAUAUUUUUGUGUGCUAAUUUAUUGCCUAAAUCCCAAAUAUUAUUUUGUCUGUUAGCAAAUUUUAUAUCAUUAAAGGUGCUCAUUUGACAGCCCUGGAGAAUGAAGUCCUGGAUUUGUCCACAAAACAGAUAGUCACAGUUCAAAUUGCCCCUUACAUGUUUCUGUGCUACAGGGAAAGAAACUCAUUCAAUCAUCCUCCUCUUUCAAAAGUAGGCUUCUUUUCGGGGAAUAUUUUAAAGGGUGCCAGUUAGUGCUCUGUUUUUGUGAUGGGGGCACAUGUCCAUUGGGAGCUGGAUUGCAGCUACCCAAUUUAUUUCACACAGGCCACUGAAUAGCUUUCAAAAGAUAACUGUUGAUAUAGACUGGAACUGAUGGCCUAGAGAUGAAAGUCCUUGCACUUCAUUACUACUCCUCUGAACCAUGUAGGCCUCUUGGUUUUGCAGUCAAGAAUUCUAGAUCUUUUUUUAUUUUUUAGCCAUUGACAGCUGCAUCAGAAUGAACCCACUUGAGUAUUGGCAGCUUCCGAGAAAACUGAAGUAACAUUUUAAGGAUAAUAAAGAUAUCUUCAAAUCUGGAAAGUCUUGGAUGGCUUACAGGGGGAGAAAACCCUCAUGAAGAAAGUGGCAUCUCUCUCUCUCUCUCUCUCGUUAAGUGUUGUAUUCAAAUUGUGAGGGAUUUUAUGCAACGGUUGCUUUAACAUGUUUGUUUAUGUAAAAUCGCCUUUACAUGUACUGCUCAGUUGUAUAAUGAGCUCUAAACAGGUGGAUCACGGAGGCCUAUUGAACCAAUGGUCCUUCAUGUGGCCACAGUGCAGUUAUUGUGCAGAGCAAUUUGUAGAAUAGGUGCAUAAAUCUUUGAAGGGGUAGGUUAAGGAAGGCAGAUUAUAGAAUUGUACAAAACUGUAGUCCAUCUACAAAUUAGACAAAACUUAAGAGAAAUGAAUGAGGCACAUAAACAUUCCUCCUUUCCUAGCUCUAUCUGAAUAUUGACUUUCCAGCACCAACUUAUUUUUUAAUGAGGAGAAAUAUUUCACAAUUCCAUAAUCUCCAGGGUUUAAUUUUUAUAAGUGAACUGUUGAUGAUGACUCACAAGUCUGGCCUGCAAAAUACCAGUUUGGCAAUAAUUCAGGGCUCAGAACAUGUGUCUUAACUACCUCUUAUUUAUCAAGAAAGAAAUUAUGCUGAGCUGUGCAUCAGUUGAAAAGCAAUAUUUAAAUGUUUCUAAUUAUGUCUUAGAAGGUAAUAUCAAUUUUUUUUAAAUCUGAUUUCGAAUUUGAGAGUUUUCUGUGGCAGGUUGUUUGUGACACAUCUAUAAUUAUCGUCCACAUGUUUUUUUGAUUCUUCACGGCAGCAUUUUCUCUGCAGCUCCUGAAGGGUCAGGCCUGGUGGCAGUAAUCAUGAGUUUAUUGCUGCUGAUGUCAUGAAUUGUGUAGCUACGUCAAAUGUUUUUAUUUUUCGUUUGUAAAUUCUAAUCUCCUCCCCUUCCCCCACCCUUCCCUUCUAUCUCCUCCUUCAUUUGCUCAUAAAAGAAGCCAGCUGGUAACAAUGAUUUAUGCACUAGGUAAGUAUUGCCAUUCCAAAGCAUGUUGUAAUUGCCGUUAUCUGGCUUUCCCUAGACCUUAAAGUUCUAAGCUGCAGGGAGUCGCACCAGCCAGCAAAAAUGUAGUCUAUGGCCCUAAGGCUUGCAAGGAGGAUCUGUGUUUUGUCAGCAAUGACAGUUUUAGCACCACUCUGCUUAAUUUUUUUUUUUUUUAAAUCCAGCAAAUUACUCUCUCCUGCCUGAGUGUCUGUAGCAUAAGUGGCUGCACCCUUGUACUUUGGGCAGUGAUCUUUUGGGGUUUUAUAAGCUAAAAAGGGCAUGAGCUAAUCAGUGUUUGGAUGGGAAACCUUCAAGGAAAAAACAUGUCAGAUGGUGGUGUUGAUUCAGCAGGUGGUAUUGUUCCUUGUACGUUCCAGUCAAUAUUGAUCCAGUGUCCCAGCCCUGAGUUAGAGAACACUGAUGCUUCAGGUGCUGUGUUUCAGAUGAGAAAGCCAAGGUCCUGCCACUUCUUCCAGUUAUGUUUUUAUGAUUACGCAAACAAUACUCCAACCGAAACACUGGAACGUGUAAUAUGAAAGUGUGACUCUACUCUGAAAAUGCAUUGUGGGGUUCCCUGGCAUUGAUUUCCAGUUGACAAAGAAAAAUAUUUCAUCCUUGAAACUCAGCCUGAGCUCUGAAAAUCAAACUGGUCUCUUUCCUUCUAUUUCCUCCUCCUCGACAUAAUCAGAAAUCAACAUUCCUGCAGGGCUAAACUAGUUCCAAAGUGACACCUCUACAACCUGCUUGUCUUCAAAUCAUGCCUUUAACUUUGCUCAUGAGAUAUUAUUCUCUUAAGAGUAUUACCUCAGGGUCACUUAUGCACUUACCACCUUCAGCUUGUUUGCACAAGUACAACUGUUCAACCCUGAAAUUCCAUGAACAGUUCAGUUAA